rnacentral:rRNA from 1 species
GAUGAACGCUGGCGGCGUGCCUAAUACAUGCAAGUCGAGCGAACAGAUGAGGAGCUUGCUCCUCUGACGUUAGCGGCGGACGGGUGAGUAACACGUGGAUAACCUACCUAUAAGACUGGGAUAACUUCGGGAAACCGGAGCUAAUACCGGAUAAUAUAUUGAACCGCAUGGUUCAAUAGUGAAAGACGGUUUUGCUGUCAAUUAUAGAUGGAUCCGCGCCGCAUUAGCUAGUUGGUAAGGUAACGGCUUACCAAGGCAACGAUGCGUAGCCGACCUGAGAGGGUGAUCGGCCACACGGGAACUGAGACACGGUCCAGACUCCUACGGGAGGCAGCAGUAGGGAAUCUUCCGCAAUGGGCGAAAGCCUGACGGAGCAACGCCGCGUGAGUGAUGAAGGUCUUCGGAUCGUAAAACUCUGUUAUUAGGGAAGAACAAAUGUGUAAGUAACUAUGCACGUCUUGACGGUACCUAAUCAGAAAGCCACGGCUAACUACGUG